ACGGAGGGUGCAAGCGUUAAUCGGAAUCACUGGGCGUAAAGCGCACGUAGGCGGCUUGGUAAGUCAGGGGUGAAAUCCCACAGCCCAACUGUGGAACUGCCUUUGAUACUGCCAGGCUUGAGUACCGGAGAGGGUGGCGGAAUUCCAGGUGUAGGAGUGAAAUCCGUAGAUAUCUGGAGGAACACCGGUGGCGAAGGCGGCCACCUGGACGGUAACUGACGCUGAGGUGCGAAAGCGUGGGUAGCAAACAG
rnacentral:rRNA from 1 species